rnacentral:rRNA from 1 species
GAUGAACGCUGGCGGCGUGCUUAACACAUGCAAGUCGAACGGUGAAAGAGGAGCUUGCUCCUCUGGAUCAGUGGCGAACGGGUGAGUAACACGUGAGCAAUCUGCCCCGAACUCUGGGAUAAGCGCUGGAAACGGCGUCUAAUACCGGAUACGACGCGGGAGGGCAUCCUCUCCGCGUGGAAAGAAUUUCGGUUCGGGAUGAGCUCGCGGCCUAUCAGCUUGUUGGUGAGGUAAUGGCUCACCAAGGCGACGACGGGUAGCCGGCCUGAGAGGGUGACCGGCCACACUGGGACUGAGACACGGCCCAGACUCCUACGGGAGGCAGCAGUGGGGAAUAUUGCACAAUGGGCGCAAGCCUGAUGCAGCAACGCCGCGUGAGGGACGACGGCCUUCGGGUUGUAAACCUCUUUUAGCAGGGAAGAAGCGAAAGUGACGGUACCUGCAGAAAAAGCACCGGCUAACUACGUGCCAGCCGCCGCCGUAAGAC